GACGAACGCUGGCGGCGUGCUUAACACAUGCAAGUCGAACGGAAAGGCCCUGCUUUUGUGGGGUGCUCGAGUGGCGAACGGGUGAGUAACACGUGAGUAACCUGCCCUUGACUUUGGGAUAACUUCAGGAAACUGGGGCUAAUACCGGAUAGGAGCUCCUGCUGCAUGGUGGGGGUUGGAAAGUUUCGGCGGUUGGGGAUGGACUCGCGGCUUAUCAGCUUGUUGGUGGGGUAGUGGCUUACCAAGGCUUUGACGGGUAGCCGGCCUGAGAGGGUGACCGGCCACAUUGGGACUAAGAUACGGCCCAGACUCCUACGGGAGGCAGCAGUGGGGAAUAUUGCACAAUGGGCGGAAGCCUGAUGCAGCAACGCCGCGUGCGGGAUGACGGCCUUCGGGUUGUAAACCGCUUUCGCCUGUGACGAAGCGUGAGUGACGGUAAUGGGUGAAGAAGCACCGGCUAACUACGUG
rnacentral:rRNA from 1 species